rnacentral:lncRNA from 1 species
AAGCGCCUUUUUUUUUUUCUUUCUCCUCCCCAUUCCUUUCUUCAGUUAGGUAAUUGUGUCUCCACCCUACAGGACACUCCCUUCAGAUGCAUCCUCCAAACUGGAAAGCGCUAAUUUCCCAAACCAUAAACUGGUUGGCUUAAGAUCGGGCUCAGGUGAAGGGAACCCAGAAGCCCAACAUGUCAGCAAAAGGUGAAGACUUGAAGCUCAGUACAUGCUUUGAGCUCACAAUGGCUGUCUCCAUUUGUAUCAUGGAUCUAUGGCUUUCUAAGGAAUGUAGACUGCAAUUAAUGUUGCAGGUAUGUAGGUGUAUUUAUCUUUCAGAAUUUGGGAAUAAGCAUUAUAAUUUCCAAAUAACCAAAGAAAGCUUAAAUUUAAUUUUUUGAUGUUUCAAUUAAAAAAUUCAAAAUAAAUUACACCUCAUCUUGUCUUUAACAUUUUUUUUCUAAUGUGGGAUUGUCUACAUUUUUUCAUUUAUCAGUGUAAGUGAAUAGCUACAACCCCCUACUCUGAAAAAUUAGGAAUUUAGGUCAUUAUAUUACUGUCUUGUUACUCCUCCAACUCCCUCCCAAACUGCUACUCUCUCAAUCAGUCACAUACUUAUUUUUCAGUUAUUUUAUUGGUUGUCUGUAUCAGUACAUUAUAGAAUUAACCAUCUGUUUCUUAACUGUAGGCAGACUCUCUUGACUGCCCUAUUAGAUGAAAAAAUGAGUACAUCUAUGGUGCUCACCACCCCUCCCAACUUUUCCA